GCUGCGGUGGCCCAGUGGUAGAGCAUUUGUUUGAUAUACAGAAAAUCAAUACCUGGCAUUUCAGGUUAAAACCAAUUGGUAGCA
rnacentral:tRNA from 1 species